ensembl:lncRNA
AUUGCUGUGAGGAAAGCAGAAAUGUUUGGUACAGCUAGAACAGGGGCAAAUAAAAGUAUGUUUCAGUAUCUUAAAAUGUUAAUCAUAAUAGUUAUACUAAAGUCCUGCAUUUAUUAGACACAUAUUAUCCAUUCAUCUAUCGGUGUAAAUAACAAUUUCUAUUAUAUCAUGCUCUAAAUAUUACAAUUGUGUAAUAGUACAAUAGUACAAUAGUACAAUAGUGAUGUAAUGAAGUUUCCGUUCAGCAGAGGUGGAACAUUAACACUUUUCACAUUAACAACAACAUUUAACUCUGCUGAUGACAGCCGGUCAGUCAACUCCACCUUUUGCAAGAGUUCACACACCAUCCACACAUCAGGUUUAAAGAGAUUGUAGAGAAGUUCAUCGUUGAGAAAAGGAUUUUGCUCGGGAGUAUUACGAUCCAUGAAUGAAGAUGGGGAGUAUUUCUGUCAAAACUGUAUGUAAAGGCACGGCGCUUCUGAUCUUUUUUAUUCUUCGGGGGUUGAAUGCACAGAAUGAUACAGAUAUCACAUCACUCCCUGUCACUUCAAACAUGUCUUCAACUGAGCUUGAAACAUCUCCUCAAACACCUCCUACAACCUCAGCCACAACAAGCACUAUUUCAACUGAGUCUCAAACAGAUGCUCCAGCAGCUCCUGUCACUACAAGAUCUCCUUCAACUGAGUAUGAAACAUCAGCUCCUCCAACUCCUGCAACUACAAAAUCUCCUUUAACUGAGUCUGAAACAUCAGGUCCUACAAGACUAAAAGUGAUUGAGAAUCUCACAGUAACUGAAAUCUCCACAUCAUUUGUGCUUCUGAAAUGGGAUGAACCACUUGAAAUUGUGGCGUUGUCCUUUAAAGUUCAAUGGACUGCUGAUGAAACAUCUGGAAAUGCAACAGUCACAGACACAUCAGUGAUGUUACACCAGUAUAACAUUACUGGCCUGACUGCUGGAGUCAAUUACAUAUUUUGCAUCACUGCCACUGUAGCAGAUACAUCAACAGAAAGUGAAUCUGUCUGUAUCUCAGCAUGGACCAAGCCAGAUGUGAUCAGUAAUCUCAAAGUGACUGAAAUCACAACAUCUUCUGUGUUUCUGAUAUGGGAUGAACCAGUUGGAAAAAGAUCUUUCUUUAAAAUUCAAUGGACUGGUGAUAAAACAAGUGGAAAUUCAACAACUACUAACACUUCCUAUCACAUCACUAGUCUGACUGCUGGAGUCAAUUACACAUUUUUCAUCACAGCUGUUGCGGCAGAUAAAUCAACAGAAGGAGAAUCAGUGGUUACCUCAAAUUAUACUAGUAUGUUUUCCUGUUACUUUUAAGUGUCCUCUUUAUGGAGCCCCGCACAUGACAUGCAAGAAAAAUAUAAAUAAAUUGUGGACAUGAUUUAUUUAUUUGUUCCUU